UACGUAGGGUGCGAGCGUUGCCCGGAAUUACUGGGCGUAAAGAGCUCGUAGGUGGUUUGUCGCGUUGUCCGUGAAAACUCACAGCUCAACUGUGGGCGUGCGGGCGAUACGGGCAGACUGGAGUACUGCAGGGGAGACUGGAAUUCCUGGUGUAGCGGUGGAAUGCGCAGAUAUCAGGAGGAACACCGGUGGCGAAGGCGGGUCUCUGGGCAGUAACUGACGCUGAGGAGCGAAAGCGUGGGGAGCGAACAGG
rnacentral:rRNA from 1 species